rnacentral:misc_RNA from 1 species
CGCAGCCGCGGUAAUUCCAGCUCCAAUAGCGUAUAUUAAAGUUGUUGCAGUUAAAAAGCUCGUAGUUGAAUUUCGGGGUUAGCAGGUCGGUCGUGCCAUCGGUAUGAACUGGUCUCGCUGAUCCCUCCCUCUUGACGAACUGUGAUGCCAUUAAUUUGGUGUCGCAGGGAAUCAGGACUGUUACUUUGAAAAAAUUAGAGUGUUUAAAGCAGGCUCACGCUUGAAUACAUUAGCAUGGAAUAAUGAAAUAGGGCGUUUGAUCCUAUUUUGUUGGCUUCUAGGAUUGACGUAAUGAUUAAUAGGGAUAGUUGGGGGCAUUAGUAUUCAAUUGUCAGAGGUGAAAUUCUUGGAUUUAUUGAAGACUAACUACUGCGAAAGCAUUUGCCAAGGAUGUUUUCAUUAAUCAAGAACGAAAGUUAGGGGAUCGAAGACGAUCAGAUACCGUCGUAGUCUUAACCAUAAACUAUGCCGACUAGGGAUCGGAUGAUGUUAAUUUUUUAAUGUACUCU